rnacentral:snRNA from 1 species
AUUGCUUCUCGGCCUUUUGGCUAAGAUGGAGUAUAGUAUCCGUUCUUAUCAGCUUAAAUAUAGGAACAAAAUAAAGAUGAUCCUGAAGAACUUCUUUAGAGAAGCCAAAGUCUCAGAAUGUUCGUGUCCGCACUGUGGUAAAUUGAGAGGGUUAAACUAUCUAAUGUUAAAGGUGUUUUUCAAUGAUCAAAUGCUACUUUGUAUUAAGACCACUUUUU